rnacentral:rRNA from 1 species
GAGUUUGAUCCUGGCUCAGAACGAACGCUGGCGGCAUGCCUAACACAUGCAAGUCGAACGAAGGCUUCGGCCUUAGUGGCGCACGGGUGCGUAACGCGUGGGAAUCUGCCCUUUGCUUCGGAAUAACAGUGGGAAACUACUGCUAAUACCGGAUGAUGUCUUCGGACCAAAGAUUUAUCGGCAAGGGAUGAGCCCGCGUAGGAUUAGGUAGUUGGUGGGGUAAAGGCCUACCAAGCCGACGAUCCUUAGCUGGUCUGAGAGGAUGAUCAGCCGCACUGGGACUGAGACACGGCCCAGACUCCUACGGGAGGCAGCAGUGGGGAAUAUUGGACAAUGGGGGCAACCCUGAUCCAGCAAUGCCGCGUGUGUGAAGAAGGCCUGCGGGUUGUAAAGCACUUUCAGAGGGGAAGAAAAAUCGGAGCUAACACCUCCGAGCUUGACGUUACCCUUAGAAGAAGCACCGGCUAACUCCGUGCCAGCAGCCGCCGU